CCCCCACCAUCUGUUUGCCGCCUCCAUCGCCCUCAUCCACCAGAGCCCGAGCGCUCCGCCGGUGCCGCUGCCACGCCGGCCCUCCACCGGAGCGCCGAAAAGCCCUCGUCGUCCCCCUCCACUCCCGUCCACCUUAGUCAUCAAGGUCCGGCGCCGACGAACCACGCGGCCCCUGGCGCUUCAUUUCCCCUCGCCGGCCCCUUCGCUUUCCCCCGCCGGACACCUCACUGCCCCACGCCGGGAUUCUCGGUGAUCUCCCCAACGGCCGCCUGCCCUCGUUUUGCAUGGAGUCGCCGACCUUCGUCUGAUUUGGAAUCGGAGUCGUUGCCACCUCUCCAUUUUUAUUCAGAUUGGUACUGUAAGCGGAGAUCAGUUGAUGUUGAGAAUCUCCGCGAGGAGAAGAAAUGA
rnacentral:lncRNA from 2 species